GGGGCGCUGGUCGGUGCGCGGGCUGGGACGCUAAGUCAUGAGGAAUUAAACUGGGAAACCUGGCGUGGGUCCAGGCGCCUUCCAGGAGGCAUCCGGCGCGGCCCGGACGUGCUUCUACCCAGAACCACCCCCUCCAGGCCGGGGUGCACUUAACGGGGCUAUACAAAGAGUCUGACACUGUUAUUGCCCAUCUGAACUCGUCAACUGAGAAGGAAAGAGA
rnacentral:lncRNA from 1 species